rnacentral:rRNA from 1 species
ACAGCAGUAGCCGCGGGAAUACAGAGGAUGCAAGCGUUAUCCGGAAUGAUUGGGCGUAAAGCGUGCGCAGGCGGUUCUAUAAGACAGAUGUGAAAUCCCCGGGCUCAACCUGGGAACUGCAUUUGUGACUGUAGAGCUGGAGUGCGGCAGAGGGGGAUGGAAUUCCGCGUGUAGCAGUGAAAUGCGUAGAUAUAUGGAGGAACACCGGUGGCGAAAGCGGCUCUCUGGUCUGUAACUGACGCUGAGGAGCGAAAGCGUGGGGAGCGAACAGGAUUAGAUACCCCUGUAGUCCCUGUCUCUUAUAC